rnacentral:rRNA from 1 species
GACGAACGCUAGCUACAGGCUUAACACAUGCAAGUCGAGGGGUAACGAGAGGAAAGCUUGCUUUCCUUGUCGACGACCGGCGCACGGGUGAGUAACGCGUAUCCAACCUGCCCCCAACUAGGGAAUAACCUUGCGAAAGUAAGACUAAUACCCUAUAAUUUCCUCAGAUGUCAUCUGACGAGGAAUAAAGAUUUAUCGGUUGUGGAUGGGGAUGCGUCUGAUUAGCUUGUUGGCGGGGUAACGGCCCACCAAGGCAACGAUCAGUAGGGGUUCUGAGAGGAAAGUCCCCCACAUUGGAACUGAGACACGGUACAAACUCCUACGGGAGGCAGCAGUGAGGAAUAUUGGUCAAUGGGCGGAAGCCUGAACCAGCCAAGUAGCGUGCAGGAUGACGGCCCUAUGGGUUGUAAACUGCUUUUAUACAGGAAUAAAGUUAGCCACGUGUGGUUAUUCGUAGGUACUGUAUGAAUAAGGACCGGCUAAUUCCGUGCCAGCCGCCGCCGUAA